AGCUCUGUAGUAUAAUUACGCAGGAGUGCAAAUCCUGAAAUGCAAUAUAACGUUUGUCGGAGCUU
rnacentral:tRNA from 1 species